rnacentral:rRNA from 1 species
GAUGAACGCUGGCGGCGUGCCUAAUACAUGCAAGUCGAGCGAACGGACGAGAAGCUUGCUUCUCUGAUGUUAGCGGCGGACGGGUGAGUAACACGUGGAUAACCUACCUAUAAGACUGGGAUAACUUCGGGAAACCGGAGCUAAUACCGGAUAAUAUUUUGAACCGCAUGGUUCAAAAGUGAAAGCCGGUCUUGCUGUCCCUUAUAGAUGGAUCCGCGCUGCAUUAGCUAGUUGGUAAGGUAACGGCUUACCAAGGCAACGAUGCAUAGCCGACCUGAGAGGAUGAUCAGCCACACUGGAACUGAGACACGGUCCAGACUCCUACGGGAGGCAGCAGUAGGGAAUCUUGCGCAAUGGGCGAAAGCCUGACGGAGCAACGCCGCGUGAGUGAUGAAGGUCUUCGGAUCGUAAAACUCUGUUAUUAGGGAAGAACAUAUGUGUAAGUAACUGUUCACAUCUUGACGUUACCUAAACAGAAAGCCACGGCUAACUACGUG